UUGCACCACUGCACCCCAGCCAGGGCAACAGAGGGAGACACUGUGUCAAUCAACUAAUCAAUUAAUAAGAGUGGCGGACGGCUUGGAUGUGGAGAGCAAGAGAAGAAAAAGUCAAUGGAGUGGAAUUGCCGGGUCACACGCUGGGAAGAACCCAAUGUUUGUGUCCUCCCAAAAUGCACAAGUCAAAAUCCCAACCCUCAAGAUGAUGGGAUUAGGAGGCGAGGCCUUGGAAGGACCCAGUGAGAAGGCGCCGGAUAUGAGCCAGGAAGGGGACUUCGGAGGACAGCAAAUCUGCC